AGUUCAGCUUGGUUAGAAUACAUGCCUGUCACGCAUGGGGUCGCGGGUUCGAGUCCCGUCCGCA
rnacentral:tRNA from 1 species